rnacentral:rRNA from 1 species
GACGAGGUCCACAAACGUUAUUCGGAAUUACUGGGCUUAAAGCGUGCGUAGGCGGCCUAGCAAGUCAGGUGUGAAAGCCCUCGGCUCAACCGAGGAAUUGCGCCCGAAACUGCUGGGCUUGAGUGAGACAGAGGUGAGCGGAACUGAUGGUGGAGCGGUGAAAUGCGUUGAUAUCAUCAGGAACACCGGUGGCGAAGGCGGCUCACUGGGUCUCAACUGACGCUGAGGCGCGAAAGCUAGGGUAGCAAACGGG